AUUGAACGCUGGCGGCAGGCCUAACACAUGCAAGUCGAACGAGUGGCGGACGGGUUAGUAAUGUCUGUGAAACUGCCUGAUGGAGGGGGAUCACUAAUGGAAACGGUAGCUAAUACCGCAUGCCAUCAGCUGUGCCCAGAUGGGCUUCGCUUUUGGGUGGGGUAACGGCUCACAAAGGCGACGAUCCCUAGCUGGUCUGAGAGGAUGAACAGCCACACUGGAACUGAGACACGGUCCAGACUCCUACGGGAGGCAGCAGUGGGGAAUAUUGCACAAUGGGCGCAAGCCUGAUGCAGCCAUGCCGCGUGUAUGAAGAAGGCCUUCGGGUUGUAAAGUACUUUCAGCGGGGAGGCGUUACCCGCAGAAGAAGCACCGGCUAACUCCGUGCCAGCAGCCGCGGUAAUUC
rnacentral:rRNA from 1 species